UACGAAGGGGGCUAGCGUUGCUCGGAAUCACUGGGCGUAAAGCGCACGUAGGCGGAUUGUCAAGUCAGGGGUGAAAUCCUGGAGCUCAACUCCAGAACUGCCUUUGAUACUGGCGAUCUUGAGUCCGGGAGAGGUGAGUGGAACUGCGAGUGUAGAGGUGAAAUUCGUAGAUAUUCGCAAGAACACCAGUGGCGAAGGCGGCUCACUGGCCCGGUACUGACGCUGAGGUGCGAAAGCGUGGGGAGCAAACAGG
rnacentral:rRNA from 1 species